rnacentral:rRNA from 1 species
GGGCCCGCACAAGCGGUGGAGUAUGUGGUUUAAUUCGAUGCAACGCGAAGAACCUUACCAGGGUUUGACAUCCUGCGAAUCUCUUGGAAACUUGAGAGUGCCUUCGGGAGCGCAGUGACAGGUGGUGCAUGGCUGUCGUCAGCUCGUGUCGUGAGAUGUUGGGUUAAGUCCCGCAACGAGCGCAACCCACGUCUUUAGUUGCCAGCAUUUAGUUGGGCACUCUAGAGAGACCGCCGGUGAUAAACCGGAGGAAGGUGUGGAUGACGUCAAGUCAUCAUGCCCCUUACAUCCUGGGCUACACACGUACUACAAUGGCAUAUACAGAGGGCAGCAAGACCGCGAGGUGGAGCA